AGGAGUGUAGCUCAAUUGGUAGAGCGCUGGUCUCCAAAACCAGAGGUUGUGGGUUCAAUUCCUAUCGCUCCUG
rnacentral:tRNA from 1 species